UACGUAGGGGGCAAGCGUUGUCCGGAAUCAUUGGGCGUAAAGCGCGUGUAGGCGGCUCGAUAAGUCCGCUCUGAAAGUCCAGGGCUCAACCCUGGAAGGCGGGUGGAUACUGUCGAGCUCGAGUCCGGAAGAGGCGAGUGGAAUUCCCGGUGUAGCAGUGAAAUGCGUAGAGAUCGGGAGGAACAUCAGUUGCGAAGGCGGCUCUCUGGACCAGCACUGACACUGAGGCACGAAAGCGUGGGGAGCAAACAGG
rnacentral:rRNA from 1 species